CUACGGGUGGCUGCAGUGGGGAAUCUUGUACAAUGGGCGCAAGCCUGAUCCAGCCAUGCCGCGUGAGUGAAGAAGGCCUUAGGGUCGUAAAGCUCUUUCGCCAGAGAUGAUAAUGACAGUAUCUGGUAAAGAAACCCCGGCUAACUCCGUGCCAGCAGCCGCGGUAAUACGGAGGGGGUUAGCGUUGUUCGGAAUUACUGGGCGUAAAGCGCGCGUAGGCGGAUUAGUCAGUCAGAGGUGAAAUCCCAGGGCUCAACCCUGGAACUGCCUUUGAUACUGCUAGUCUUGAGUUCGGGAGAGGUGAGUGGAAUUCCGAGUGUAGAGGUGAAAUUCGUAGAUAUUCGGAGGAACACCAGUGGCGAAGGCGGCUCACUGGCUCGAUACUGACGCUGAGGUGCGAAAGUGUGGGGAGCAAACAGGAUUAGAUACCCCCGUAGUC
rnacentral:rRNA from 1 species